CGGUGUUGGGAUCCCUCCGUCACCGCUGCAGCCACGAGCACAGCUGUAGCGGCGACGGAGGGAUCCCGGUACCG